GAUGAACGCUGGCGGCGUGCCUAAUACAUGCAAGUCGAGCGAAGGGACGAGAAGCUUGCUUCUCUGAUGUUAGCGGCGGAUGGGUGAGUAACACGUGGAUAACCUACCUAUAAGACUGGGAUAACUUCGGGAAACCGGAGCUAAUACCGGAUAAUAUUUUGAACCGCAUGGUUCAAAAGUGAAAGACGGUCUUGCUGUCAACUCUCGAUGGAUCAGCGCUGCAUUAGCUAGUUGGUAAGGUAACGGGUUAACAAGGCAACGAUGGAUAGCCGACCGGAGAGGGUGAUCGGCCACACGGGAACUGAAACACGCUCCAGACUACUGCGGGAGGCAGCAGUAGGGAAUCUGCCGCAGUGGGGGAAAACCUGGCGGAGCAGCGCCGAGUGAGUUGUGAAGAUCUUCCGAUCGUAAAACCCUGUUAUGAGGGAAGAACAUAUUUGUAAGGAACUGUGCACAGCUUGACGGUACCUAAUCAGAAAGCCACGGCUAACUACGUG
rnacentral:rRNA from 1 species